UACGUAGGGUGCAAGCGUUGUCCGGAAUUAUUGGGCGUAAAGAGCUCGUAGGCGGUCUGUCGCGUCGGCUGUGAAAUCCCGGAGCUCAACUCCGGGUCUGCAGUCGAUACGGGCAGACUGGAGUUCGGCAGGGGAGACUAGAAUUCCUGGUGUAGCGGUGAAAUGCGCAGAUAUCAGGAGGAACACCGGUGGCGAAGGCGGGUCUCUGGGCCGAUACUGACGCUGAGGAGCGAAAGCGUGGGGAGCGAACAGG
rnacentral:rRNA from 1 species